CCUCGAAUCAGGUGGGACUACCCGCUGAACUUAAGCAUAUCAAUAAGCGGAGGAAAAGAAACUAACAAGGAUUCCCCUAGUAACGGCGAGUGAAGCGGGAUGAGCUCAAAUUUAAAAUCUGAUAGUCUUUGGCUGUCCGAGUUGUAAUCUAGAGAAGUGUUUUCCGCGUUGGACCAUGUACAAGUUUCCUGGAACGGAACGUCAUAGAGGGUGAGAAUCCCGUCCUUGACAUGGACUACCAGUGCUUUGUGAUACACUCUCAACGAGUCGAGCUGUUUGGGAUUGCAGCUCAAAAUGGGAGGUAAAUUCCUUCUAAAGCUAAAUAUUGGCGAGAGACCGAUAGCGAACAAGUACCGUGAGGGAAAGAUGAAAAGCACUUUGGAAAGAGAGUUAAACAGUACGUGAAAUUGUUAAAAGGGAAACGAUUGAAGUCAGUCGCGUUUACUUGGACUCAGCCUUACCUCGGUUUGGUGCAUUUCCUUGUGAACGGGCCAGCGUCAAUGUUGUCCGUUGGAAAAGGGUUGGAGAAAUGUGGCUCUUUCGGGAGUGUUAUAGUCUCUGAUCGUAUACAACGGCUGAUAUUGAGUGGUACAGCAUGCUUCGGCGGUGCUUGGCGGCUUGG
rnacentral:rRNA from 1 species